GCUUGGUCUAUGAAUGAGAUGAUAGAUCAAAUGGAAUUAGAGGUAAUCAAAUACAUUGAAUUAAUUGAACGAGUGUUCGUAAGAUCAAAUAGCUACUAUAACACUGGGCACUCAUUAUAGACGUUUGGUUUCAAGAGGCAUGUUUUUCUUGCUUCAACCCUUGACUAAUAGACUCCCUAAGGGUCUAGCCUUUGAUUUUUAUGGGGUG
rnacentral:lncRNA from 1 species